AGGGAAUUAUGAAGUGUAGUCUGCAUUUGGGCACUUGGACUACAUGGAGUUAGUAGUGCAACCCACCUU
rnacentral:ncRNA from 1 species